rnacentral:rRNA from 1 species
CCCUUAGAUGUUCUGGGCCGCACGCGCGCUACACUGAAGGGAUCAGCGUGUUUUCCCUUUCCGAGAGGAACAGGUAACCCGCUGAACCCCCUUCGUGGUAGGGAUCGGAGCUUGCAAUUGUUCUCCGUGAACCAGGAAUUCCAAGUAAGCGCAAGUCAUAAGCUUGCGUUGAUUACGUCCCUGCCCUUUGUACACACCGCCCGUCGCUACUACCGAUUGAACGUUUUAGUGAGGUAUUUGGACUGGGCCUUGGGAGGUUUCGGCCUCCCUUGUUGCUCGGAAAGACUCCCAAACUUGAGUGUUUAGAGGAAGUAAAAGUCGUAACA